rnacentral:rRNA from 1 species
UGUUGUUUGGUCUGGGUAAGGUCUUGUAAACUAAAUUUAUGUGGUGAUAAGUGAGUCGUAAAGCUUUAUAACUGUUUGGUUGUUUAGAAUUUAGUGGGAUGUAGGUGGCUAUUAGGUCAUUUAUAUUUUUAUACAUUUGGUGAUGUGUGGUUUUUGAUAAGGUUAGAGGUACCUAGUUUUUGUUAUAUUGUUGUAAAUAUGGUUUUGUUGGUUUAUUGGUAUGUUAAUUGUUUGAACAACUGUUUUGUUAUAUUUGGUUAUUAUAUUAUCGUUGAAUAAGUAAUUUUAUUAUGCUAUUUAUUUCUUGAGUUCUUUCCGUCUGUUUAUUAAAAACAUUUCUAAUUUUAAUUGUAGUUAGUAGUGCCUGCCCAAUGUUGGUUAAUUAAUGGCCGCAGUAUAUUGACUGUGCAAAGGUAGCAUAAUUAAUUGCCUUUUAAUUGGAGGCUUGUUUGAAUGGUUUGACGUGAUUGGUAUGAAUAUUUGGUAUUUGGUUGAAAUUGAUUUUGAGGGUUUAGAAUCCUUAAUGUUUAAUAAGACGGAAAGACCCUAGGAUCUUUUGUUUUUGUUUGGGGCAAAUAUUGUUGUUUUAUGAAUAUUGUGACCCUGAGAUGAUAUUGGUUUAUUGGGUUAAG